rfam:Thalassospira sp. MCCC 1A01428 contig3, whole genome shotgun sequence.
GGAGAGGUGCCGGAGUGGUCGAACGGGGCGGUCUCGAAAACCGUUGUACUAGCAAUAGUACCGUGGGUUCGAAUCCCACCCUCUCCG